UACGGGGGGGGAAAGCGUUGUUCGGAAUUACUGGGCGUAAAGGGCUCGUAGGUGGCCAACUAAGUCAGACGUGAAAUCCCUCGGCUUAACCGGGGAACUGCGUCUGAUACUGGAUGGCUAGAGAUUGGGAGAGGGAUGCGGAAUUCCAGGUGUAGCGGUGAAAUGCGUAGAUAUCUGGAGGAACACCGGUGGCGAAGGCGGCAUCCUGGACCAACACUGACGCUGAGGAGCGAAAGCCAGGGGAGCAAACGGG
rnacentral:rRNA from 1 species